UAUUUCUUAUAUAUUAAACAGGUAAGAACAUGUAAGUAAGUAUAUUUUUUUUUUUCUUUAAGAUUGCAUUGGCAUUGGCUAUUGGUAGUAAAUGCAGUUUGGAUAUUGACGAUAGCAAGAAGAUAAACAUACAGAAGCGGACCAUAAAACGAUUCCAGAAGGUUUUGGUUUUCAAACUAGUAAACAAUUUAACAAGAACGCCAUCACUAAUGUCUAGAAUCGGUAUCAUGGCUCUGGGUUUCACGGGCCUUCGGUUUAUGUGGAUGAGAUGGCUUGCCUCUUCAUCGAGUAUGGUAUCGACUGGUACCCUUCUCUUGAACUUGACCAUACCGUUUUGAAGUAAUGAUAUUUUAUAAUAAACUAAAUUUAAUGGAUUACGUGGUACAAUUGGAUUCGCCAAGACAUUAGGCAAUAUCUUGGAUGGUUCGUAGCUUUUUAUGCCUUUCGAUACGAAUGAAUGCCUUUCGAAUUAUGAAAACGCUAUCGUUAAAUGAUGUUGGUCUUCGCCCACAUGCCUUUGGAAGAUCACACAGGAACAAAAGGAUAUAGUUAUAUGUUACGCAACAUUAAAAUUUAAAUGUAAUUUUAUAAAUAUUAAAUGAAUGUAGUUUCUUCAUGCCUA